UUUCUCUCGGGAUAGCUGGAGCUCGUGUGAGAAUUUUAUCAAGUAAAGCGAAUGAUUGGAGGCAUCGGGGGUGUAAUGCCCUCGACCUAUUCUCAAACUUUACAUAGAUAAGCCGUCAGGGCAAGGAACUGGGACUGGGACUCGCAGUGGAACCGAGACUCGCACCAAGACUGAGACUCGCGCCCUCACAAUGGGAGUGUGGAUUGGAUGCGACACCAGUUAGCGGACCUCGGAGUGGGUCCCAGUUUUGACACAAGUCCCAGUUCUA
rnacentral:rRNA from 1 species